rnacentral:rRNA from 1 species
AUUGAACGCUGGCGGCAUGCCUUACACAUGCAAGUCGAACGGUAACAGGUCUUCGGAUGCUGACGAGUGGCGAACGGGUGAGUAAUACAUCGGAACGUGCCUAGUAGUGGGGGAUAACUACUCGAAAGAGUGGCUAAUACCGCAUGAGAUCUACGGACGAAAGUAGGGGAUCGCAAGACCUUGUGCUACUAGAGCGGCCGAUGGCAGAUUAGGUAGUUGGUGGGAUAAAAGCUUACCAAGCCGACGAUCUGUAGCUGGUCUGAGCGGACGAUCAGCCACACUGGGACUGGGAAACGGCACAGACUCCUCCUGGAGGCAGCAGUGGGUAAUUUUGGACAAUGGGCCCAAGCCUGAUCCAGCAAUGCCGCGUGCAGGAUGAAGGCCUUCAGGUUGUAAACUGCUUUUGUACGGAACGAAAAGCCCCGGGUUAAUACCCUGGGGUCAUGACGGUACCGUAAGAAUAAGCACCGGCUAACUACGUGCCAGCCGCCGCCGUAA